rnacentral:rRNA from 1 species
UACGGAUAGGGCAAGCGUUACUCGGAAUUACUGGGCGUAAAGGGUGCGUAGGUGGCUGUUUAAGCCUGAUGUGAAAUCUUCACAGCUCAACUGGAAGGUUGCAUUGGGUACUGGAUGGCUUGAGUUCGAGAGAGGACAGUGGAAUUCCUGGUGUAGCGGUGGAAUGCGUAGAUAUCAGGAGGAACACCCGAUGUGUAAACGACUGUCUGGCUCGACACUGACACUGAGGCACGAAAGCUAGGGGA